rnacentral:rRNA from 15 species
AACUUUCAACGGUGGAUAUCUUGGUUCCCGUGACGAUGAAGAACGCAGCGAAAUGCGAUACGUAAUGCGAAUUGCAGAACCGCGAGUCAACAGAUCUUUGAAAGCAAGUGGUGGAGGUGUAAAAACCUUCAUGUUUGUAUUAGUGUGG